CCUACGGGGUGCAGCAGUGGGGAAUAUUGGACAAUGGGCGAAAGCCUGAUCCAGCAAUGCCGCGUGUGUGAAGAAGGCCUUAGGGUUGUAAAGCUCCUUCACCGGUGAAGAUAAUGACGGUAACCGGAGAAGAAGCCCCGGCUAACUUCGUGCCAGCAGCGCGGUAAUAUGAAGGGGGCUAGCGUUGUUCGGAAUUACUGGGCGUAAAGCGCGCGUAGGCGGAUAGAUAAGUCAGAGGUGAAAUCCCGGGGCUCAACCCCGGAAUUGCCUUUGAUACUGUUUAUCUUGAGUGCAGAAGAGGUAAGUGGAAUUCCCAGUGUAGAGGUGAAAUUCGUAGAUAUUGGGAAGAACCCCGGUGGCGAAGGCGGCAACCUGGCUUGAUACUGACGCUGAGGCGCGAAAGCGUGGGGAGCAAACAGGAUUAGAUACCCGGGUAGUC
rnacentral:rRNA from 1 species